GAACGAACGCUGGCGGCAGGCUAACACAUGCAAGUCGAACGCACCGCAAGGUGAGUGGCAGACGGGUGAGUAACGCGUGGGAACCUUCCCUUUGGUACGGAAUAACUUCGGGAAACCGAAGCUAAUACCGUAUAAGUCCUUCGGGAGAAAGAUUUAUCGCCAAAGGAUGGGCCCGCGUUGGAUUAGCUAGUUGGUAGGGUAAAAGCCUACCAAGGCGACGAUCCAUAGCUGGUCUGAGAGGAUGAUCAGCCACACUGGGACUGAGACACGGCCCAGACUCCUACGGGAGGCAGCAGUGGGGAAUAUUGGACAAUGGGCGCAAGCCUGAAUCCAGCCAUGCCGCGUGAGUGAAGAAGGCCUUAGGGUUGUAAAGCUCUUUUGGCGGGGACGAUAAUGACGGUACCCGCAGAAUAAGCCCCGGCUAACUUCGUGCCAGCCGCAGC
rnacentral:rRNA from 1 species